UACGUAGGGUGCAAGCGUUGUCCGGAAUUAUUGGGCGUAAAGAGCGUGUAGGCGGUUCGGUAAGUCUGCCGUGAAAACCUGGGGCUCAACCCCGGGCGUGCGGUGGAUACUGCCGGGCUAGAGGGUGGUAGAGGCGAGUGGAAUUCCCGGUGUAGCGGUGAAAUGCGCAGAUAUCGGGAGGAACACCAGUAGCGAAGGCGGCUCGCUGGGCCAUUCCUGACGCUGAGACGCGAAAGCUAGGGGAGCAAACAGG
rnacentral:rRNA from 1 species